CAAAACCACAGUUCCUUUUGC
rnacentral:miRNA from 1 species